rnacentral:rRNA from 1 species
GACGAACGCUGGCGGCGUGCUUAACACAUGCAAGUCGAACGGUAAGGCCCUUCGGGGUACACGAGUGGCGAACGGGUGAGUAACACGUGGGUGAUCUGCCCUGCACUUCGGGAUAAGCCUGGGAAACUGGGUCUAAUACCGGAUAGGACCCUGGGAUGCAUGUCCUGGGGUGGAAAGCUUUUGCGGUGUGGGAUGGGCCCGCGGCCUAUCAGCUUGUUGGUGGGGUGAUGGCCUACCAAGGCGAGGACGGGUAGUCGGCCUGAGAGGGUGACCGGCCACACGGGGACUGAGAUACGGCCCAGACUCCUACGGGAGGCAGCAGUGGGGAAUAUUGCACAAUGGGCGCAAGCCUGAUGCAGCGACGCCGCGUGAGGGAUGACGGCCUUCGGGUUGUAAACCUCUUUCAGCACCGACGAAGCGCAAGUGACGGUAGGUGCAGAAGAAGGACCGGCCAACUACGUGCCAGCCGCCGCAGUAA